rnacentral:misc_RNA from 1 species
UGGCUCUCCCAUCGAUGAAGAACGCAGCGAAAUGCGAUACGUAAUGUGAAUUGCAGAAUUCAGUGAAUCAUCGAAUCUUUGAACGCACCUUGCGCCCUCUGGUAUUCCGGAGGGCAUGCCUGUUUGAGUGUCAUUAAAUUCUCAACUUCAAUAGUUUUUAUAACUUAUUGAAGGUUGGAUAUGGAGGUUUGCUGGCGUCUUAGAUGUUUGGCUCCUCUUAAAUACAUUAGUGGAUCUAUUAUUGAACCAUGCCUUGGUAUGAUAAUUAUCUAUACUUUGGUUAGUUCACCAACUCUGUGAAGUUUUUCUUCAGGACACUUUAGUGUUCUGGUUUGGGUUUUUGCAUUAAUUUGCUAUACCUGUUUUAUUCAGAUACCUUUGGGUUCUGGUUUGGGUUUUGCAUUAGUUUGCUAUACCUGGCUUAACAAAGUUGGAGAUUCUCCGCUCUCUAGCUGUCUGUCUAUGCAGACAAUUUAUAUUGACUAUUUGACCUCAAAUCAGGUAGGACUACCCGCUGA